AACGAACGCUGGCGGCAGGCUUAACACAUGCAAGUCGAGCGGGGACUUCGGUCCUAGCGGCGAACGGGUGAGGAAUGCUUGGGAAUCUGCCCAGUAGCGGGGGAUAACGUUUCGAAAGGAACGCUAAUACCGCAUACGCCCUACGGGGGAAAGGGGGGGAUCUUCGGACCUCUCACUAUUGGAUGAGCCCAAGUCGGAUUAGCUAGUUGGUGGGGUAAAGGCCUACCAAGGCGACGAUCCGUAGCUGGUCUGAGAGGAUGAUCAGCCACACUGGAACUGAGACACGGUCCAGACUCCUACGGGAGGCAGCAGUGGGGAAUAUUGGACAAUGGGCGAAAGCCUGAUCCAGCCAUGCCGCGUGUGUGAAGAAGGCCUUCGGGCUGUAAAGCACUUUAAGCGAGGAGGAAUGGCUCUUGGUUAAUAACCUUGAGCAGUGACGUUACUCGCAGAAUAAGCACCGGCUAACUACGUGCCAGCAGCCGCGGUAA
rnacentral:rRNA from 1 species